CCCAUUUAUGCUGCAUCCGCGCCCUGAAUCUGAAAUUGGUCGUCCUGCCACGCCGCCUCACCGCGGUAUAAGGUCGUCCCAUCCUGAAUGGCCGGUGCGCAGACUCAAUUGCGACUUUGAGGCUGUCAGCCGCCACCCGGCAACCUUCCAGUGAACAGGAUUCUGGGUUUCUCAAAGCUGUAAUUGGAGGGCCACUCCAGAGGUGUUAAAGCUCCAGCACUUCGAGCCUGCCUCGUGGGAAAGUCUUAGGCUGAGUCUGUAGGUGUCUGCAGUUAAGAAGCCAGCGGUCUGCAUAUGAUUGCUCAGGGGUGGUGGCUGGGUCCAACAGCAUUCACUACAGGCCUGCCUUGAAUACCACCUAGCGCAGUGCUCCGCAUAUCACAGGGGCUGGAAACCUAACAAUUUCACUUCCUAGACAACUUGCUAAAAGUCACCUAAAGACAGUCUGGUUACUGCCAAAGAUAUGCUUUCAAAUAAGAUUUGGAUAAAGAAGGGAGGUAGAUGCCUUUUUUCAGCAGUGGAGUGAUGUCUAGACCAGUAGAUGUACGCAUCUAAGUGAAUUCAUCACCAGCAACAAUUUCCAGAAACUUCCUGACCUCCAGAUUGCAGCUUCAUUAGUGUGAGUUUAAAGCCAACUAGAUGCCAUUCUCAGAUUCCACGCAUAUGGCCAAGGGUCCAGGAAAUAAGAAGAAACAGGUUGAGGGGUUGGUGUUAUGGGGCAUUUACUUGAAUUUUCUAUGCUAUAAUUGUCUCAUCUUUAAAACGGUGAUAAUAAUAAAAUUGUCAGUUAUUAAAUAAAUUAACACAGUGAAAAAAAA
rnacentral:lncRNA from 10 species